rnacentral:rRNA from 1 species
AUUGAACGCUGGCGGCAGGCCUAACACAUGCAAGUCGAACGGUAACAGGAAGCAGCUUGCUGCUUUGCUGACGAGUGGCGGACGGGUGAGUAAUGUCUGGGAAACUGCCCGAUGGAGGGGGAUAACUACUGGAAACGGUUGCUAAUACCGCAUAACGUCGCAAGACCAAAGAGGGGGACCUUAGGGCCUCUUGCCAUCGGAUGUCCCCAGAUGGGAUUAGCUAGUAGGUGGGGUAACGGCUCACCUAGGCGACGAUCCCUAGCUGGUCUGAGAGGAUGACCAGCCACACUGGAACUGAGACACGGUCCAGACUCCUACGGGAGGCAGCAGUGGGGAAUAUUGCACAAUGGGCGCAAGCCUGAUGCAGCCAUGCCGCGUGUAUGAAGAAGGCCUUCGGGUUGUAAAGUACUUUCAGCGGGGAGGAAGGGAGUAAAGUUAAUACCUUUGCUCAUUGACGUUACCCGCAGAAGAAGCACCGGCUAACUCCGUG